AUUGAACGCUGGCGGCAUGCCUUACACAUGCAAGUCGAACGGCAGCACGGGUGCUUGCACCUGGUGGCGAGUGGCGAACGGGUGAGUAAUACAUCGGAACAUGUCCUGUAGUGGGGGAUAGCCCGGCGAAAGCCGGAUUAAUACCGCAUACGAUCUACGGAUGAAAGCGGGGGACCUUCGGGCCUCGCGCUAUAGGGUUGGCCGAUGGCUGAUUAGCUAGUUGGUGGGGUAAAGGCCUACCAAGGCGACGAUCAGUAGCUGGUCUGAGAGGACGACGAGCCACAGUGAGAGAGAGACGCGGCAGAGACUUAUGCGAGGGAGAGGAGUGGAAAAUUGUAGAAAGGGGGCAAGAGUGUGAUAGAAAAGUGGCGCGUGUGAAGAAGGCCUUCGGGUUGUAAAGCACUUUUGUCCGGAAAGAAAUCCUUGGACCUAAUACGGUCGGGGGAUGACGGUACCGGAAGAAUAAGCACCGGCUAACUACGUG
rnacentral:rRNA from 1 species